rnacentral:rRNA from 1 species
UAGUGGCAAACGGGUGAGUAACACGUGGGUGACCUGCCUCAAAGUGGGGAACAACAGACCGAAAGGUUUGCUAAUACCGCAUUAGUUCGGUGAUUCAAUUUGCCGAAUAAAGCCGAAAGGCGCUUUGAGAGGGGCCCGCGUCCCAUCAGGUAGUUGGUGAGGUAAUGGCUCACCAAGCCGAUGACGGGUAGCUGGUCUGAGAGGACGAUCAGCCACAAUGGAACUGAGAUACGGUCCAUACUCCUACGGGAGGCAGCAGUGAGGAAUAUUGGGCAAUGGGCGCAAGCCUGACCCAGCGACGCCGCGUGGGUGACGAAGGCCUUCGGGUCGUAAAACCCUUUUGUCAGGGACGAGUGAGGACGGUACCUGGCGAAUAAGUCUCGGCUAACUACGUGCCAGCAGCCGCGGUAAAACGUAGGAGGCGAGCGUUAUCCGGAUUUACUGGGCGUAAAGCGCGCGUAGGCGGUUGGGUAAGUCUGACGUGAAAGCCCUGGCUCAACCCGNGAAAUGGCAUUGAAUACUAUCCUGCUGGAGGAUCGGAGGGGAGACUGGAAUUCUCGGUGUAGCAGUGAAAUGCGUAGAUAUCGAGAGGAACACCCGUGGCGAAGGCGAGUCUCUGGACGAUUCCUGACACUGAGGCACGAAAGCUAGGGGAGCAAACAGGAUUAGAUACCCUGGUAGUCCUAGCCGUAAACGGUGCACAUUUGCCGUGAGAGGAAUCGACCCCUCUCGUGGCGGAGCUAACGCGUUAAAUGUGCCGCCUGGGGAGUACGGUCGCAAGAUUAAAACUCAAAGAAAUUGACGGGGGCCUGCACAAGCGGUGGAGUAUGUGGCUUAAUUCGAUGCAACGCGAAGAACCUUACCUGGCCUUGACAUGCAGGUGGUAGAAGGGUGAAAACCUAACGAUCCCGCAAGGGAAGCCUGCACAGGUGCUGCAUGGCUGUCGUCAGCUCGUGUCGUGAGAUGUUGGGUUAAGUCCCGCAACGAGCGCAACCCCUGUGUCCUGUUGCCACCGGCACGAGAGUGCCGAGCACUCUGGACAGACUGCCUCGUUUCAACGAGGAGGAAGGUGGGGAUGACGUCAAGUCAGGAUGGCCCUUACGGCCAGGGCUGCACACGUACUACAAUGCCCGGCACAAAGGGACGCGAGACCGCAAGGUGGAGCAAAUCCCCAAAAACCGGGCCCAGUUCAGAUUGUCGGCUGCAAUUCGCCGACAUGAAGCCGGAAUCGCUAGUAAUGGCGCAUCAGCUACGGCGCCGUGAAUACGUUCCCAGGCCUUGUACACACCGCCCGUCACAUCAUGAAAGCCAUUGGUACCCGAAGUCAGCACGUCAACC